UGGGGGAUAUUGCACAAUGGGGGGAACCCUGAUGCAGCGACGCCGCGUGGGUGAAGAAGCGCCUCGGCGCGUAAAGCCCUGUCAGCAGGGAAGAAAAUGACGGUACCUGAAGAAGAAGCCCCGGCUAACUACGUGCCAGCAGCGCGGUAAUCGAGAUCU
rnacentral:rRNA from 1 species